rnacentral:rRNA from 1 species
GUCGAACGGUAACGCGGGGCAACCUGGCGACGAGUGGCGAACGGGUGAGUAAUACAUCGGAACGUGCCCAGAAAUGGGGGAUAGCCCGGCGAAAGCCGGAUUAAUACCGCAUACGACCUACGGGUGAAAGCAGGGGAUCGCAAGACCUUGCGUUUUUGGAGCGGCCGAUGUCAGAUUAGGUAGUUGGUGGGGUAAAAGCCUACCAAGCCUGCGAUCUGUAGCUGGUCUGAGAGGACGACCAGCCACACUGGGACUGAGACACGGCCCAGACUCCUACGGGAGGCAGCAGUGGGGAAUUUUGGACAAUGGGCGCAAGCCUGAUCCAGCCAUGCCGCGUGCGGGAAGAAGGCCUUCGGGUUGUAAACCGCUUUUGUCAGGGAAGAAACGCUUUGGGUUAAUACCUCGAGGUAAUGACGGUACCUGAAGAAUAAGCACCGGCUAACUACGUGCCAGCAGCCGCGGUAAUACGUAGGGUGCAAGCGUUAAUCGGAAUUACUGGGCGUAAAGCGUGCGCAGGCGGUCUUGCAAGACAGAUGUGAAAUCCCCGGGCUCAACCUGG